rnacentral:tRNA from 1 species
UUUCCUGUGACUCAGUUAGUAGAGCGUUGCGCUAACAAUGUAAAAGUCAUGGGUUCAAAUCCCAGGGAAAA